CUGAAACAAAUAUGAAUACCAGAACUGUAGAUAUAGAGUGUCAUAGUUUAGGUUUCCUGAGAGCAGACCCCAAAACAAUGAUCCAAGUGCAAGUAAUUUAUUUGGCUGAUGAUUCCAGGAAAUACUGGGAAGGGAGUUAGGGAGACAGAAACCAGAAGAUAGAAACUAAAGGCCACUUCAUUGAACACAUCACAAUGGUGCCCACACCAGCGAAGGAGCCAAGAGGUCAUUAGAACUCCAUUUUCCACUCUUGAUACUGCUCAUUGAAAACAUUCAUUCCUCUUCCAUUCCUUUACCGAUGAGAAGGCGAGGCUAUAGUGAGAUGGGGGUCUUCCUGUGCCACAUCACCAAGCACCAUCGCUACUGGGUCCCCACACACCUAUCCUGUACUAGCAGAGUCCAUAAGAGCACUGCAAAAGAUGAUACAUUUCAGUACGAGUGGGGCUCUCUCUCCUAGACGCCAUCUCUAACCCUUCUGAUAAGUGUUCUUUAGGUGGUUCUCACUCCAGUGGAGCAAUUCAGCAGAAUAAAAAUGAUUUAUGAUAAAACUACAAAGCUGCUGGAAUGUACAUGAAGAUAUUGAAAAGUUGUUCGCUCACACGAAGCUUUCAGUCCUGCCACUCGGCAGGUCCCAAGUUCUUGUCCUAUUUCAAGGAAGAAGGAAGCAUGCAGACAACUGGAGGGGAAACAAGGCAGAGAGGAGCUUCAUUGAGAGAAAGAACAGCUCUCAGGAUACCCAAAGUGGGUAGCUCCUUUCUGCAGGCAGGUCAUCCAGACAAGAGUCCAGUUCUCAGCGGAGAGGAGACCCAGAGUGGGUAGCUCCUUUCCACAGGCAGGUCAUGCAGGUGAGCUGAGAAAACUUGAAGUGGGUAGCACCUUCUCACAGCUGGUAGUCCCAGUGUCUCUGUGAGUCUGGCUGAGUCCAGGGGUUUUUGUGGGCUUCAGAAGGGAGGAGGUGCAUGCUGAUUGGUCUAUGGGUAACCAUGGGUGGGCCCUAAAAAGCACCGUAAGUUCUCGCUCUUGGCACAGAUUCCACCUGCAACUGGCAGCCUGGGCCCCAUGCUUCAGGCCAUCCCUGGCUUGAAGAUGGGGCUUCACUCACCCCUUUCUGCCCAGGAGCCUGUCUGCUUCCUGCUGCCAUCAAUCAUGUCAUCCACAGCAUCCACCCAGGCUGUUCAAGUGGAGCGCAUGUCAAGCCACCCUCACCCACCCUGUGCCCCCCACCAUGCUCCUCAGCGCCCAAAGUCCGGAGGGGGCUGAGGAGGCAGGGGGCUGAUGUGUCAGCACUGCCCUGAGCAAGCAUACACCCAGCCAGGUUGCGACAGUGCCUGCCUGGGCUCAGCCUCAACUUUGCUCCAAAAUCAGAGCAGGCACUGGGAGAGAGGAGAGGCCAGUCCACGGGGACAGACACUUCUGAGACUGUGGGGGAAGAGGGGCUUCCUGGCCCGAGAGUACAAGGAUGCCUGGGUCUGGAACUGCAACAGGGCAGCUGCAUCUGUGCCUGGUGAGCAGACAGACCCUGACCCGCCAACUUAGAAGGGGAUGGAUCCCCCACUCCUGCUCCCCAUCCCCCUCCCCAUGGGGCACGCAGCCCCAGACACGCCUUCCCAGCUGCAGCCCAAGUCUUCACAGUGGCCGUUCUAGACGGGCUGCCACUGCCAUCAUAUAUAUGUGUGUACGCACUAAAAAUAGAAUUCUUACAAAGUAACUAAAAACAAAGAAGACAAGUGACCUAGUAGAAAAAGAAGCGGAGUAUAUACACAUAUAUGAUGAAGCAAUUCACACAAGAACAAAUAUGGAUGGUGAUACAGUUUGGCUCUGUGUCCCCAUCCGCAUUUUAUCUUGAAUCGUAAUCUCCACAUGUUGGAGGAGUGGCCUGGUGGAAGGUGAUUGGAUUAUGGGGGCACAUUUCCCCCUCACUAUUCUCCUGAUAGUGGAUAAGUUCUCAUGAGACCUGACGGUCUACAAGUAUGUGGCACUUCUCUCUCUGCUGCUCCACAAUGUGAAAAUGAACUUGCUUCCCCUUCACCUUCUGCCGUGACUGUAAGUUUCCUGAGGCCUCCCAAGCCAUGCUUCCUGUUAAGCCUGCAGAACUGUGAGUCAAUUAAACCUCUUUUCUUCAAAAAUUACCCAGUCUCAGGUGUUUCUUUACAACAGUGUGAGAAAGGAUUAAUACAGAU
rnacentral:lncRNA from 1 species